AGGAUUUUUAUCCUUUUUAUUGUCUCGUUGUUUCCUUAGGCACAAAAUGAAAUUGGGUGCUCUCAGACUACCUUUGGACUAUCUCCUGCCCAAAUAAGAAAUGGCAAACCCUAGACAAACAGGAAACCAAGUGUCAAAGAGAUACAAACUGAUUUUCCUUGAGGACCUACUAUGUUCCAACAGUGCGCAUAAGUCACUGAUCUCCAUACUGCUACAGGCUUUUCAUACAUUUAUCCCAAAGUCUCACAAAAAUACAGUGAGGUAGGUGUUACUUUCCCCCAUUAUUAUAGUAGACAAAAUUUAAACUUACCCCAGUAGACUGAUCUCUUCCAAGAUCAUACAGUAAGUGAGGGAGUCAGGAUUUGAAUCCAGGGUCUGUGCCCUUAACCAGCACUCUUCUGCCUUCUAAAUAUUUGUUAAAUGAACUCCAAAUAUUUUGUUAAUGUGAAGUGAUUGUUAGUCAUAACACAACCUCAGUAUAUGAAUCACAAAGAAAGAAUAUAUGUUAUAUUCAGAACUUCCAUCUGUGAGUGAGUCACAAAUCUACAUCCCUUUCCCUUACUGCUAGAGAUCCUUUUCUUUUCCUUUUUUCUUUUCCCUUUUUUUUUUUUUUAACUAUGGUUUGGUUUUUCUCCAGUCAGCAGGUUUUCCAAUGAUAUCUGUUAAUUGAGGGUGUGGUGAGGUUAGGAGACAGCUAAUGAAAUUUUAUUCCAUUUUACUUUGGUCAUCCUAAGAUGAAUACACGUAGCAUAGCCCCCUCACCCCCGCCGUUAGCUAUUCCGCUGUGAAAAGUAGACCAGCCAUCAUUUACACGUCCAUUCAAUAAAAUGACCAAAAUUGGAAAAAAAUUUAAGAUACGGCAUAUAGUUUUCUUUUCCAUCAGCAUUCAGAUGUCUUCUCUUGUUAUUCAACUGCCUAGAAAAUUUAGAGAAAUAUACAUAACAUACAGAAAUCUGGAUGUUCAUCCCAGCAGGCAGCAACUAACUUAGAAGACAGUCUGCCCUUGAAUGGAUAAGAAGAGUGUCUUGACUUACGUCCACGUGUCCAUUAAGGCCCAGCAGCAGUUACUUCUCAUUUCUACAUUUACAAUUUCCCUUCAGGCAUUUUAUCCAAGUGGGUUUUUUUUCUUUAUCUCUUUUUUUUUUGGGUGGGGGGGGGGAGGGGAGAGUGGGAUUUCCCAGUGAGAGACCACAGCAUUCUGAGGAGAUGAAUACACCUAGAAAUCUGGUGUAUUUGUGUAAUCUGAAAUCUGGGCUCCCAAAUAUUUAGUACACUACUUAGAUCCCUAAGCUGUUAUGUUUUCAAGGAUUUUUGCAAAAAGGAUUUUGCAAAUUAAAGGAAAGACCGCAUUCACCCAAACUUUAGAUGGUUACUAUAGUUAACAUCUGAGCUGUGUCCCGAGAUCAACGCUACAGUGAUGAAGUCCAGAUGUUAAAACUUACCAAUGUUUUUGUUACUUCUGAGCAUUUGCUGCCUUUGUUGGUUUUUUUUUUUUCAGACUCUAACUUCUUAAUACAUGAAGGUAUUAGAGAAGAAGGGGAAAUGAAAUUAGCAUAUGGCAUGAACCCAGAGUAACUGAACUCCUCCUCUUUCGAAGCACACUUUCAGGCCCUCACAGGAUAUGCAGCCUGUGGGAAGGCAGGCUCCAGGGCCUGCUCAUCAGAUAAAGAUAUUUCCAUUCAGUUGCUAUUUUCAAUGAAAAUAGGCUAUGUGAGGGGCGCCUGGGUGGCUCGGUUGGUUAAGCGUCUGACUUCGGUUCAGGUCAUGAUCAUGGUUCCAGCCCAGCAUCAGGCUAUGUGCUGACAGCUCAGAGCCUAGAGCCUGUUUCGGAGUCGGUCUGUCUGUCUGUCUGUCUGUCUCUCUCUCUCUCUGCCCCUACCCCUGCUCAUGCCCUGUCUCUUUCUCUCUUGUAAGUAAAUAAACAAACAUUACAAAAAUUUUUAAAUAGGCUAUGUGAUUGAUUAAAUCUUUUCAGAUUUAAUACUGUGCACUAAAGAAACAGGAAGAGGAUUUAAAUCGAUAAUAAAUAUUCCAAAAUUGUUACAGUUGUCUUUUCAUCUUAUUUUAGUUGUAUGUAUGCACAGAAAUCUGUAUCUAUACAUAUAUAAACACACACACACUGUAUAUAUUGUCCUAGAGGGGAGGAAACCACCACUCGUUCAGGAGCAACCACAUUGCAGCAGAGACGUGUUACAGUGAGCAUCCGAGGACAGGUUGAAAAAAGCAUUGUUAGUCCCUGACAUCCAUGUGAAGAAGUUAAGAAAAUCCCCAAUAACAAUUUCUUCCUUCGGGGCAUCUGGUGGCUCAGUCGGUUGAACGACCAACUUUGGCCCAGGUCAUGAUCUCACGGUUUGUGAGUUCAAGCCCCGCAUCGGUCUCUGUGCUGACAGCUCAGAGCCUGGAGCCUGCUUUGGAUUCUGUGUCUCCCUCCCUCUCUGCCCCUCCCCUGCUUGUGCUCUGUCUCUCUCUGCCUCAGAAAUAAUAAACAUUAAAAAAAAUUUUUUUUUAAUAUUUCUUCCUUCAAAACCCACUUUAGUUUUGUAUCCCUUAAUUUAUCUAAAAUAUUUGCAUGACCAUCCCAAUGUUUAUAGCAGCACUAUCAACAAUAGCCAAAGUAUGGAAAGAGCCCAAAUGUCCAUCGGUGGAUGAAUGGAUAAAGAAGAUGUGGUAUACAUAUACAAUGGAGUAUUACUCGGCUAUCAAAACGAAUGAAAUCUUGCCAUUUGCAACUACGUGGAUGGAACUGCAGGGUAUUAUGCUAAGCAGAUUUAGAGAAAGACAAAUAUCAUACAACUUCACUUAUAUGAGGACUUUAAGACACAGAACAAAUGAACAUAAGGGAAGGGAAGCAAAAAUAAUAUAAAACCAGGACUUAUUUACAGAAAAUGGAAGUCUGGGGGUACAUGGAUGCCUCAGUUAGUUAAGCCUCUGACUACGGCUCAAGUCAUGAUCUCACAGUUCCUGAGCCCCGCAUCCAGUUCUGUGAUGACAGCUCAGAGCCUGCAGCCUGCUUUGGAUUCUGUAUCUUCCUCUCUCUCUGCCCCUCCCCCACUCUCUGUCUCUGUCUCUCUCUC